AUAGGAAAUGCAUUAAACUUCCAGAGAACAAGUGUGCAUUGUUUACAGAAUAAAACUGUGAUCAAACGCGCAACCAAGUUCCAUUUCCGCUCUGUAAUGUUCCCACACAGAAUAGUCUAAAAACACGCGAAAAGUUUUAAAAUCUCCAAUACUUCUCGAUAUAGCAGUAGAAGUAGAAGAAGAAUGCAGCAAAAGAAAAUAUAAAUUGACCUCGUAAAUACAUGUUGCUUUCAGAGGCAAAUGCCAAGGCCAGCAUCUAGGUCUCUAAAUAUUUCUAUUGCAUGCAAUUAUUUCAAACUUUUCCAAUGCCAUAGGCCAUAUAGCCUACGAUAUUCUUAUUUGAUUCUCACUCAAGGCUACCUGCAAAAGGCACAAAUCAUUAAACAGAAAAAAAAAAUUUAGUAAUAUUAUUCCUAUGCCAGUAACAUUAGAGAAAAGAAAGUUGAUACACACACACAGAUAGGACGGGACGCUGAGGCCUGGGGGUGGUGGAGGUGGUGGUGGUGUACAUACAUUGCGUUGUGCUAAAUCUAAUAAUAUACAACAC
rnacentral:lncRNA from 1 species